rnacentral:rRNA from 1 species
UACGUAGGAGGCGAGCGUUGUCCGGAGUUACUGGGCGUAAAGGGUGCGCAGGCGGCGGUUCGCGUGUCGAGAUGAAAUCUCCUGGCUUACCUGGGAGGGUGGUCGCCAGACGGGAUCGCUUGAGGGUCGGAGAGGGGCGUGGAAUUCCGGGUGGAGCGGUGAAAUGCGUAGAGAUCCGGAGGAACACCGACGGCGUAGGCAGCGCCCCGGACGACACCUGACGCUGAGGCACGAAAGCUGGGGGAGCGAACAGG